rnacentral:rRNA from 1 species
UACAGAGGGUGCAAGCGUUAAUCGGAAUUACUGGGCGUAAAGGGUGCGUAGGCGGUUCUAUAAGUUAGGUGUGAAAGUCCUGGGCUUAACCUGGGGAUUGCGCCUGAUACUGUGUAGCUAGAGUCCUGUAGAGGAAAGUGGAAUUUCCGGUGUAGCGGUGAAAUGCGUAGAUAUCGGAAGGAACAUCGGUGGCGAAGGCGACUUUCUGGACAGAGACUGACACUGAGGCACGAAAGCAUGGGGAGCAAACAGG